CGCGGUGUAGCUCAAUGGCAGAGCACUCGAUCGAUAAUCGAGCGAUGGCGGUUCAAUUCCUUCCGCCGCGACCA
rnacentral:tRNA from 1 species